rnacentral:rRNA from 1 species
AUGGCUCAGGAUGAACGCUAGCUACAGGCUUAACACAUGCAAGUCGAGGGCAGCAUGAUCGAAGCUUGCUUUGAUGGAUGGCGACCGGCGCACGGGUGAGUAACGCGUAUCCAACCUUCCCUAUAGUAGAGGAUAGCCCGGCGAAAGUCGGAUUAAUACUCUAUGUUUUCCAAUGCAGACAUCUAAGUUGGAACAAAGGUUUACCGCUAUAGGAUGGGGAUGCGUCUGAUUAGGUAGUCGGCGGGGUAACGGCCCACCGAGCCUACGAUCAGUAGGGGUUCUGAGAGGAAGGUCCCCCCACAUUGGAACUGAGACACGGUCCAAACUCCUACGGGAGGCAGCAGUGAGGAAUAUUGGUCAAUGGGCGAGAGCCUGAACCAGCCCAAGUAGCGUGCAGGAUGACGGCCCUAUGGGUUGUAAACUGCUUUUAUACGGGGAUAAAGUGAGGGACGUGUCCCUUUUUGUAGGUACCGUAUGAAUAAGGACCGGCUAAUUCCGUGCCAGCCGCCGC